UAGCUGUGGAGUGAGACCUCAGUUUUAAUAUCAGUAGUGUUCCUAAAACCCUGGACUUAAAAUUAGUGAACUCAUUACUAUAUUUCAGUAGUUAGUUCAAAUUGUUAACUUGAAAAACCCAAUGCUUCAAUUGCUAAGAACACUGUGCUUUAGGGUCUGGUUGUUUUUCAAUACUGCAAAGUCAUGCAGUCCAGAGUCCAGUCCUGCAAGAUGCAAAAUUCUUGCUUCUUCGUACUGUAGGAAUUAAAAAGGGCUUAUUGCCGAGGAAAGCUUGAACCCUUAAAGCAUGAAUACUCACAUGUCUGCUUUAAAUUUAAAUACAGAUUACAAGAACUAACCAAAAGAAUGCAGCAGGAAUGUGCAUACAUGAAGCUACAGUAUUCAAAGUAAAAGCGGCUGAGAGAGUUCGAUACAUGUUCUCUUGUGAAAGUGCAAAAUGUUGGAAGCAGAGAGUGAGGAUUUGAAGAAUGGCUGAAGGCAUUUGGAGGAGGAUUUGGAAUGUUUUGUAUCUGCAGUAGAGCUGCUAGGAGCGUUUGAUUCAUAUGGUAUGUUUGUCUUGGCAUGGUAGGGUAAAUUAAUAUGUAGUCAUAGGUGUUAUUUUUACUGGCUUUUUAAAACGUGAUUUUUAUUUUUUUUUUAAAAUUACAGAUAUUUUUUGCAGAGGUUCCGUUAUUUUUACACAUCUUCCUUUCCAAAUGUAUUUAAUUCAAUCUGUCAGCUCAGUUUCUGUUUACUUAUUAAAGGUCAGAUUUUCAAACCACGGUCUUUGGUUUUACACAUGCAAAAUGCCAGGGGAAUAGGCAUAUAUGCAACUUUGAAGUGGUAAUUUCUAAAUGGAUGCAGGUUAGAUGAUUUCAAAGUCUAAAUACUGUAUGAAUGCAGCCAGGUGUUUACAGUAGGCGUGAACUGAACCAAGUUAAGGCUGGGCUGAAAAUCAAGCCCUUGAAAUGUGGAAUUUAACAUGUGCUUAGAAGGUGUGUUGUAGUACAGCAUUUGCAAUGCAGUGAUAUUAAAAUGAUAUAAUACUGUGUUAAGGGAAAAAAUGUUAAAACUUCUGACACUUGUUGUAAACAUAUUUGUAAAAAUAUUUAAAAUAAAUAAAAAAUUCAUAGUGAGAUCCUGUUGGGGACCAGCUAACUUGGUGCAUUCUGUUGGCACAUGUUAUUUUAAGGUCUACAGGGGCUGAAAAAAAAAGGUUUUGUUAACUUCAAUGAGCAUUUCAAAAGACAGUUGCUAAAUGGCCUUUGGUUCUAUUCUUUGCUAUUUUCCACAUGAUGCUGUGUUCAGUGGUGAAGAAUAACCUCCAGUGUAUUUGUUCUUUAGAAGACUAUUCUUCGUCUCUAAUUAGGGAAUGAAGAUAGAAAUCAAAUGCAAAGAAUCUAAUGAAUAGAGUUUACAACAGGUCCAGCCUGUGGCAAGUUAGAGAGCAAGUCUGUAGAUACUAUAACGUUAGUUUGGUUCAGAAAUGUGGCAGUCAAAACUACCAAAUCAUUAAUUUUAUGAGCACAGUUUCAGAAGGUGCCUAACUUUUAUAAAGGGAAUUUAAAUGCUGUUUUUUUCCAGUUGGGAAUAUUUAGGUAGAAUUAGGAGGCUUUAAAAAUACUUCAAAGACUGCAAGAAAACCUGAUGGGAGAAAACUGUGUAAAAGCCCUCCAGACUUUCACCUUGGUAAUCCUGGAUAAUUCUGACAGGGUUUAUAUGCUCUUUACAAAGAUAUUUUGCUUUGAAAUACCCAACAUAUCUGUCCUCUUUAUGACUGAUCUGGGGGGACUUGGAUGGAAAUUGCAGAGGCUUGACCUGGCAGAGCAGUAAGUAUGUGCACUCCUGCACACUGCUGAAAUCUCUUCAUCCAGUCAAAGCAAAUAGGUGUUUGAAGUCCUUUCAGCAGUUCUGCAGAAUUGAGUCCUUAAUGUCAGAGGAAUUCAGGAUCUGGCUCCAUUUUCUUCCAUUUUCACUUGAGCCAGUAUGCAAGGAUUUAAAUGGGACUUUGUUUAAAGAGUAGCAAACAUGAAGUAUUAUUAUCUAGUACUAAGCUAGCAGUUAACAUGUCUAUUUUUGCUGUCUCACCACCAAUACUGUAAAAAUGUAUAAUCAAAACAGCUUUAAUUCUUGUAAAACUGAAAUUGGUUUGUAAAACUAUGUACAAAUUGUGUUUCAUAGACAGAAAAGCUUGUAUUACUGAAUGUAAUAUAUGUGAAAUGAAUAUAUUAUAGUCUAUUUUUGCCAUGGAAAUAAAUAUUUGAAGCAAGUAUGAGGGUUUCUUGUUCCAUUAUUAAAAGAAAAAAAUCAGAUAACUUAGUUUUCAUGUGUAGUCCUAGGUUGGGACUUUACCUUCCAUACACAAAGGUGUUUUAUCCCUCUGGUAAAGCACUGCAAGUACUGUCCUGUAUCUCAGUACGAAUAUAAAACUUGUACUUUCAAAUGCUAAUAGCUGACAUCUUUGUGGCAGGAAGGUUUUGUGCCUGCUACCAUAGCAUUAUUGUUUAUAAUGAUCCGCAUUUUCUAAAGCUAUUUUUAGUAUUGAACAAUUUCCCCGUAGCCUUUAAGUGAAGGGGGGAUAAAAAGGUUUUGAGAGUUGAAAAACCCUUUCCAAAAACAUGUGAGAGGAAAAAGUUCAUGGUAUACUUACAUACUAUCACUGGAGCUGCUAUGAAUAACUAACACUGAAGUUUUUCUUCAUUUUAUAAUUGAUAUUUAGUCAAAAAGUGACGUGGUGCCAGAGGUUUGCUGUAUUAACACCUGGUGCAGCACAAGACCUCAUCACGUCAUGAUAAAUGAAUUGCAUGUUGGACAUUGCAAUUUCAGAGCGGACAUUUGCAUUUCCCUUGGUUUUGCUAAAUGUCUAAUGCACUGACCACUGAACUACAUCUGAAAUGACUGCACUUUUAACUAAAAUCUUUCUUCUAGGUAUGCUCAAUUUGGUGGCUUUAAUGAACCUCAGCAUCCCCUGGAAGGCUGGACAUGAAAUGAAGACUGCAUGAAAGCAGAAGCUGCCCAGUGCCACAGAAACAUUGCCAGUUUACCUCCUGCAGCCUGAGAACUACUUGUGGAUAAUCACAAUCAGUGAAUACGAUGGGAAUGUCAGUUAUGCAGGUACUGACAGGAGAUGCUGCUGCAGAAAAGCUGGAGUGAGGACUGGGUGAUCGGUGAAUGCUCAUCAGCUCUGAUCCAAGUAAGUUAUUUCAUAUUGCUGUAUAUCCCAUUGGCUUAGUCUGGCUCUUGGGCAAGUGGAACCUUCUGCCGUCAGCACUUGGGGUCUGUGGCACCAGUGGAAUGUAACGCUUAGGGAAAUGGUGGUUCUGAUACUUAAAAGCUAUUUCUGUUGUUACCACAGUUGCUUUAAACUAGGAUAUGGGUGAGCCUGGGGCUAUUUUACCACAAAAUGGCUUUAUCUUUCAGAGCUACACAGGGUUAAAGACAUGUUGUUUUGACUUCAUGGCAUUCUUUGGGAGCUUUUCUAAAGCAAGGUCUUGCAAAAUGGCGUAACACAGAUGUGGGAGCUAGAAGGGGUAGAGCUUAGAAAAACUCUGUCCCAUUUCUGAUCAAUCGCCACGUCUCCCAAACUGGUCUGCAUGCCAGUCAUCUUCCAGAUGGAAACCUAAGUUUAAACCAAGCAUCUGCCAUCCCCAACAUACCAAACCAGUGUUAUUUGCUGCCCUGAUUAUUCUAUGGAUCUAAAAUAUCUGCUGUAAUAAACGAAACCACCAGAAAAAGCUUGGAGGGCAUGCAGAUGAGAUUCAUAUUAUUAUUAUUAUUAGCCAUUUCUAAAAUGACAAUCAUGUGACUUAAUAUAAAUUUAGAAGGACAUCAAAUCCUUCCACGAAGAGACCCUGACUUAUCAUACCCAGAGGCGAAUGAAGAAUUUUCACUGGUGUUAAGUACCUGUGAAGAAAGACCCUGUCAUGCCUGGCUAAUACUGAUAAUCAGUGACUUGAAGGAACUGCAUACUUUGUGUGUGCAUGUGUGUAUCCAAUUUCUUCUGUCUGCAUGCUGUGCUAUUCAUGCCUGAUGGAAGCUGAAUUUUUCCAUUGACAAAAUCUUUAGCAAAAGACUUCAGAAGUUGGGAGAUAGUUUAGUUUUAGUUUGAUAAUGUGGAAGAUACUAUUUUAGCAGAUUUAGCAGGGUUUAUUGAGUUUUCUGCCCCACAGAACUAGAGAUGCAGUAGCUUCAAUGCACUGUGAAAAAAAGUCUACCUAAAAUAAGGAGCAUUGCUGAGUGGAUGCACUCCCUGCAGUCAGAGCAAAAUUUAUAUUAGUGCUAUGGUGUUAGUUGGCAGGGCUGCUAAUGUGAGUUUAGCACUUUCAGUGCAUUUAUACCAUCAAACUGGAAACAAAAUGCUUCAUUUGAGCUUGUUUUCAGGACAAAAGGUCAGCCUCAUUCCCCUGCACAAUAGUGGAGUUUAAAUAAUGACAAGCAGAACUGAGGCUAAUUUAUAUUCUCUGCUGAAAGAAACUGGACUACUACACCAAUGGUACAGACUGAAUUGUCCCCAUUACCUGUGAAGCCAGCUUGGGCCAUGAGCUGGCCAGCCCCACUGCUCCCCUGCCCCAUAGCUCUGUCAUUGGAGUGUGCCUGAGACUGCAGCUUGAGUGCUGUAUGGCAGGGGUGUGCUCCCACCUACCAAUUACUUCUUUGGGUAAAGGGGCAGACAACAAGCAGCUGGUUGUGGAGAUGUGCCCGCAAGCCCUCUGGAGAGGUCUGACUGCACCAUGAAGUGAACUGAACAUUGGAUCUAAGAGGUCUAAAAACAGCCAUGGGGAAAACAUGUGCUAUGGAAAACUACUGUGAGAGCCUUUUGAAAGACCCACAUUUAAGCUGAAAGCCCCUGUGUAAGGCUUAAUACUCUCAAUUUGGGAGGAGAGGACCCAUCAUGCAAACUUGUUCAGAAAGGGAAGCUGAGAUGAGACCUCCAGGAGCUAUUCUGUCUUUCUCUUGCAAUCAACUGUUAUCAGAGUUGGUUGUGCCCAGCAUUUGGGAAGCCUCAUAACCAGCUCCCAAACCUAUGUGAUCUGUAUUAUCUCCAGUCUUGCCUGAGUCAAACAUCAGGAAAAGCAGAGGGCCAAAUGCCUCUGAGCUGAAUUUCUGGUUGGGGAGGCUACACCUCUGAGGUCCUGCAAGGAAUUCUCAGGCUGGCAGAAGAGCAGACGGCCUUUGACACGUUGCUUCACUUCUUAUUUGGCAUGUGAACAUGCUUAUGAGUGAGAGAAACAGUAUAUGGGAAGAGCUUGGGUCACCUCAUACUUCUGUUACUCAUGUUCUGGAAUCAAGCUCCAGCUGCUGUGAGAUGUAAGGUAUGCCACAGCCCUCGUGCAGAUACUGUAAGGGGAGUCCUGAAUUCUUGGGAUAACUGCAGGGAGCUCUGCACCUCGUGCUACAGAUCACACUGCCUGUCCUCUGCGAGAAUGGGACAGCACAGCUCUGUAGCCUGCCAGACUGAGGCGGUGUUUGAGUUUCAAGUUUCCUAUGCUUCCCUACUCCAUUUAUAUAGCAUUUACUUGCCCUUCUCAAGGUCUAAUUUCAUUCCCCCAAUGUGGUAGGGCUGGGAGGAUCAAAGGGGAGACUCUGUGUGCCUGUGAUCUGCAGAGCAGUGAGGGCACAGCAGCAGCCCGUGCCUGUGCCUGCUGGGGAGGGUUGUUCGGCAGCUUCAGCAUCCCUCCAGCCCAAAAUGUGGUGCUGGGUUCAGAGUCUCUGCCUUUUGCAGACCAGUCUGACUGUUUAAAAGAUGAAUGCAAAGGUAACUUUCAUGUGUUGUCAGGCACACUUCCUGGACUUCAAUCUGGUGGAAUUAGCUUAAUGUGUGAGCUAAAAGGAUCAGUCCUUUUAGGAGGCCUAAAGAGAAAGCCCUGCUGCUCUGGAGGCUUUAUACAGAGACCAGAAAGUUCCAUGCACAGUAGACCCAGCAUUCUUAAUUUUGGUUCCUUUCACUCGAAUUAACACUUCUUGUUGGUACUCAUGGACUACCUGCCAUCCUGGAGUCCUCCUAACUAAGGUGGCUGAGGUGGAGAUGAGCUAUGGGUGCUCUACAGCUCGACUGAUGAUUUGUCAUGCCAGUGAUAACUGCUGAUUCUUCUUUUCCUCCCCAGCAGUGCUUUAUCCCUGUGACAUGCUCAGCUUCCGCUGGCCCACAACCCGCUACAGGUUUUGAAACUGGAUCCCUUGACUGGUUGUGACCCACGCUGGUGCAAUGGCUGGUGUGGCUGAUGAUUAGUUUACCGCUCACCUGUUUACGUAUCACUUGCUUUGCUACUUGGAAUAGAAACUGAAGAUGGUUGUUUCUGAAUGAAGCAGAUUUCACUACUGGUUAAGGAAACAGGAAGAUUGGACUGCUUGAAGCAGAAUAAGACCAACUCGAGAGGUGUUUGGCGACAGGCUUUACUGGUUCUUAAGGCUUCUUAUAGUUCCUCACCUACAGCAAGAGAAUGUAAUAUCCCAGCAUAUCCUUGGAACAUGUUGAGCUCCUUCUGCAGUAACAUGAAUGCCAGUAACUGUAAAACAUAAGAACCUCAUGCCUCAAUGGGACUGAACAUCCAACAGUGCCCUCUUCCAGGAUGGACAAACAGUUCCAGGUAUUUAGGCAUGCUUUGAUGUGGGUA